GGACUACAGGGGUUUCUAAUCCUGUUUGCUCCCCACGCUUUCGCGUCUCAGCGUCAGUGUCCGUCCAGGUCGCCGCCUUCGCCACUGGUGUUCCUCCCGAUAUCUACGAAUUUCACCUCUACACCGGGAAUUCCGCGACCCUCUCCGGCACUCAAGCAAGGUAGUUUCGCGCGCACUUCCUCGGUUAAGCCGAGGGAUUUCACACGCGACUUGCCAAGCCGCCUACAAGCGCUUUACGCCCAAUAAUUCCGAACAACGCUAGCACCCUCUGUAUUACCGCGGCUGCUGGCAC
rnacentral:rRNA from 1 species